AUUGAACGCUGGCGGCAGGCUUAACACAUGCAAGUCGAACGAGUGGCGGACGGGUGAAUUAUGCUUGGUACUCCCGCUUAUGGAGGGGGAUAACCACGGGAAACUGUAGCAAAUACCGCGUUCUCUAGGAUGAGCCCAAGUGGGAUUAGGUAGUUGGGGGGGUAAAGGCUCACCAAGCAGACGCUCUCUAGCUGGUCUGAGAGGAUGACCAGCCACACUGGGACUGAGACACGGCCCAGACGCCUACGGGAGGCAGCAGUGGGGAAUAUUGCACAAUGGGCGCAAGCCUGAUGCAGCCAUGCCGCGUGUAUGAAGAAGGCCUUAGGGUUGUAAAGUACUUUCAGCGGGGAGGCGUUACCCGCAGAAGAAGCACCGGCUAACUCCGUGCCAGCAGCCGCGGUAAUUC
rnacentral:rRNA from 1 species